rnacentral:rRNA from 1 species
UACGAAGGGGGCUAGCGUUGCUCGGAAUGACUGGGCGUAAAGGGCGCGUAGGCGGUUUGUACAGUCAGAUGUGAAAUUCCUGGGCUCAACCUGGGGGCUGCAUUUGAUACGUGCGGACUUGAGUGAGGAAGAGGGUCGUGGAAUUCACAGUGUAGAGGUGAAAUUCGUAGAUAUUGGGAAGAACACCGGUGGCGAAGGCGGCGACCUGGUCCUUGACUGACGCUGAGGCGCGAAAGCGUGGGGAGCAAACAGG